CACGUAAGGGGCAAGCGUUGUUCGGAUUUAUUGGGCGUAAAGGGCACGUAGGCGGAUUGUUAAGUUGGAUGUUUAAUCCUCAGGCUCAACCUGGGGCAUGCAUUCAAAACUGGCAAUCUUGAGUAUCAGAGGGGAAAGCGGAAUUCUCGGUGUAGCGGUGGAAUGCGUAGAUAUCGAGAGGAACACCAGUGGCGAAGGCGGCUUUCUGGCUGAAUACUGACGCUCAUGUGCGAAAGCGUGGGGAGCAAACAGG
rnacentral:rRNA from 1 species